GGAGUUAAGUGUUUCUGCAGUUGUGAGGGGAGCAAUCAGGGUUGGUUCCAUAAACAAUCCAAACCAAGGAAGAAGCACAGAACCAAAUGUGCCCUUGGAAUGAGAUAUAAAUAAUGAACAGCUACCUUAUGGAUAAACAAAUGAUGUUGGCACGCAUAAAUAGCACACUGUGCAGAUGGGCUUGGUUUUUCUUCAGUAGACUUGAGAGCAACAAGUCUGGCACAUCGGCUGCUGCUUUGGAUUUUGUGAGAUCCAUUGGGAUCUGAGGUCUUGCACCCCAUGCAUUUGGAGUUCCUGCUUAUUCCCACAUGAAUUCUCCAGAUGAGGAGAAGCAGGAACUUAUAUGUCACACCAACACACACACACCAUGGCAAGCCUUGGAAGAGAAGACCAGUGCUGGCUGCACCUUCAUCCAAAAGCUGAAGGAAGUCCUUUUUCUGCUUGAUUUGAGAGCCUGGGCAAGGGAAGAGGAAAUUCUGCAAAGGGCCCCAGCACUGCCUCUGCUCAGACCUCAUUAUUCCCGUGUAGAGACCUGUCUGGGAGCCUCCUUCUCCCUCAGAAAGACCUCUGGAAAGUUCAAAGUGUCAAGAAAAUUGUUGCAGAACUGUGAUAAGACAUGACGUUCAAGCAGUGAAGACUUCCAUAACUCUGGCUAAAUGCCUUAUUAAUCUAACAUGUGUCAGUAAGAUUUUCUGUGUGUUAGGAUGAUGCCUGGCAGGAGCAUAGGAUCUUCUGUGUGAGCUGUAGUUUGGGAAGAGGCAGGCAGAGUAUUCUUCUCCUGACAGAAAAUUAGUAUUUCGUGUGCACUGAGCUGUACUGUGAAGUACCUGUAUACAGCCCUGGGAUGUGAUGGGAGGGCUCCCAAAUGGAAUAAUGUACACCAGUAUUUUGACCACACUUGCCACUUCCCAGCUUCCCUCAUGACUAACUUUUAUAUGGUAUUUUCUCCUCUUAUUGUUUGAUUUGUCAUCAACAGUUUUGUUGCAUUUUGUUCCCUUUUUGCUCUUUCCUUGUCCUUUGCUUCCUCUCUAGACUUGUUUCUAACAGAUGUUUAUUUGUGCUGCCACAUUUUGGGUGGGUGGUUCUGUGUCCCACCACAGCAGAGCCAUGUGGAACUUCAAGUACUUGAACAUGAGGUUCUGCUCUAAGCUUAUCAUGCAGUGAAAACCAGCCUUACAGUGUUAGUGUCAGAUCAGAAAUAAAACUAAAGUAAAAAAUCACAAGGCAUUUUUGGCAUAACCUGAAUAAAUUUGCAGUUACAUAAGACCUGUGAGUAUCCUGUAAAUAUUCUUCUCACCUUGAAAAGAAGAUUGCACCUGUUCCUCCUUAUCUUGCAAUGUAUUUGGUUCUUUUCCCACCUUCUGCUUCUUUCCUUAUCUGAGCAUGCUUUUUCCUUUUCCUUGACACAGCAUUAUCUUGAGGCUUUUCUUCACAUAAGAAAUGUAACAAAAAAUAUGAAAACCAUCUGACUUGAACACAGAGGUACCCAGAAACUUCAUGCCAAAUUUCAGUUUUUUCAAGACAAAUUACAAAAAUGCUCAAAUCUUGGUAACUAUAGCAGCACAAACACCACCACUACAAUAUGCCGCAACAGAUUGUUCAUAUGUCAUUAUUUUUCCAAAGUUCCUUGGCAAACGUUUCCAUCAGUAAACAAGUCAAGUGAAAGAAUUGUAAAAUGGCCAGCAAAACCACUCAGAUCUUCUCUAGGUAGUGAAAUAAAAUUCUGCUUCUUAUCACUAUUGUUGUGUUGCUCAGCCCAUCUUCCUUCACCUGUGCUGACAGACUACAGUUGUCAUUGUUUCUGCCUUCCCAAUGAGGCUUUUGCCUGUCAUGUCACCAUCCUCUUUAUGCUGCAAGUUUGUCAAAGCAAUGUUAUGUCUAAAUGUUGGGUCACAUUCUCACCUGGGGAGAAAACGUACACAGAUCCAUUAACUUUGUCAGAAAAAUGACAAAUUACACAAACUGCUGAGCUGGCACUGCGUGUUGUAUGCAGCAUGGAAAGCGUCAAUGGAACUGAAAAAAACAUUAAUAGUGCCAGUUCACUAACAAAAUGAUGAUUCAUAUUUUUCCCAUAAUCUAUUUUUCUUUGCUGCUUAAUAUGCUGGUAUCAUCAGAAUUGAUUGUUUAAUGAAAUGCCUGGGGAAUUGGCCAAUUUAUGCUGCAUCUUAAUGAUAGGCAAAUGCUAAAGGUUUGGGAGUUCUUGAUUGAUUAUUACUGGAAUAAUC